rnacentral:lncRNA from 1 species
CCUAGCCGACGAAGGACCUUUAGAGGUUGAUGACAACUCUUGGGUAAUACAUAUAGAUGGCUCGUCCAACUCCUUAGGAUCUAGAGUAGGUUUGAUUUUACUAGUUCAGAGGGGAUGGUGGUAGAGUACGCUUUAUGGUUUGAGUUUCCAACCACAAAAAAUGAAGCCAAAUAUAAGGCCUUGGCUGCUAGGCUCCAAAUAGCCAGAGAGC